GCACGGUCAGCGCAGUGGUCUAGCGCGCCACUUGGAUUGAGAUUCCGGUCGAAAACCCGGGCUCGAAUCACAGACCGUGCA
rnacentral:tRNA from 2 species